rnacentral:rRNA from 1 species
GUGGGGAAUAUUGCACAAUGGGGGAAACCCUGAUGCAGCAACGCCGCGUGAAGGAAGAAGGCCUUUGGGUCGUAAACUUCUGUUCUAAGGGAAGAUAAUGACGGUACCUUAGGAGCAAGUCCCGGCUAACUACGUGCCAGCAGCCGCGGUAAUACGUAGGGGGCAAGCGUUAUCCGGAAUUAUUGGGCGUAAAGGGUACGUAGGUGGUUACCCAAGCACGAGGUAUAAGGCAAUGGCUUAACCAUUGUUCGCCUUGUGAACUGGGCUACUUGAGUGCAGGAGAGGAAAGCGGAAUUCCUAGUGUAGCGGUGAAAUGCGUAGAUAUUAGGAGGAACACCAGUGGCGAAGGCGGCUUUCUGGACUGUAACUGACACUGAGGUACGAAAGCGUGGGGAGCAAACAGGAUUAGAUACCCUUGUAGUCC